rnacentral:rRNA from 1 species
UACAGAGGUCUCGAGCGUUAGGCGGAAUCACUGGGCUUAAAGCAUGUGUAGGCGGAUCGUUAAGUGCCUUGUGAAAUCCCACGGCUCAACCGUGGAACUGCUUGGCAUACUGGCGGUCUUGAGCAACCUAGGGGCGAGCGGAACAAAUGGUGGAGCAGUGAAAUGCGUAGAUAUCAUUUGGAACGCCAAUGGUGAAAACAGCUCGCUGGGGGUUUGCUGACGCUGAGACACGAAAGCCAGGGGAGCAAACGGG